rnacentral:rRNA from 1 species
AUUGAACGCUGGCGGAAUGCUUUACACAUGCAAGUCGAACGGCAGCACGGACUUCGGUCUGGUGGCGAGUGGCGAACGGGUGAGUAAUGUAUCGGAACGUGCCCAGUCGUGGGGGAUAACGUAGUGAAAAUUACGCUAAUACCGCAUACGAUCUAUGGAUGAAAGCGGGGGAUCGCAAGACCUCGCGCGAUUGGAGCGGCCGAUAUAAGAUUAGGUAGUUGGUGGGGUAAAGGCCCACCAAGCCAACGAUCUGUAGCUGGUCUGAGAGGACGACCAGCCACACUGGAACUGAGACACGGUCCAGACUCCUACGGGAGGCAGCAGUGGGGAAUUUUGGACAAUGGGCGGAAGCCUGAUCCAGCCAUUCCGCGUGCAGGAUGAAGGCCCUCGGGUUGUAAGCUGCUUUUGUACAGAACGAAAAGGUUUCUACUAAUACUAGGAGCUCAUGACGGUACUGUAAGAAUAAGCACCGGCUAACUACGUGCCAGCCGCCGCGGUAA